GACGAACUGUCCUAACGUUGUUCGGAAUCACUGGGCUUUAAGGGCGCGUAGGCGGUCCGACAAGUCGGGGGUGAAAUCCUGCAGCUCAACUGCAGAAGUGCCUUCGAUACUGUCGGUCUGGAGGGAGAUAGGGGUGUGCGGAACUUCCAGUGGAGCGGUGAAAUGCGUUGAUAUUGGAAGGAACGCCGGAGGCGAAAGCGGCGCACUGGAUCUCUUCUGACGCUGAGGCGCGAAAGCUAGGGGAGCAAACGGG
rnacentral:rRNA from 1 species